rnacentral:snRNA from 1 species
CAGGCUGAGCCACUGAGCCCAGCCAUCUUUUGCCUUUUACUAAAGAUUUCCGUGGAGAGGAAGUUAUGAGUCAGUAACCAAAUUUUUUGAGGCCUUGUUUGUGAUGUGCAGGGCU